UAUAAGGACGGUGUUUGUGUGUGUUGGCUGAGACUGCGCUUUCACGCGUGAUAUUUGACUGAACCUGCUUUGUAUCUUGAAAGCACCUCUCGUACCAGUGGAACAGAUUUUCUUUUGACGAGCUCAGGUGGAGGCAACUUUUGUUUCCACAAUUUGAUCCUAAUUUAUGUUCACAAAAGCUUCAUUUUUUCCUCUUUUCUUAUUUUUCUAAUUUCUGCCUGCAUUCAUAUUACUUCUAUUCUUUCUCCAUCAAUUCUUUCUUAGUUCUUUAUUCGGGAUUCUUUUGAAUUGUUGAAUUGAUGAAUUGAUGUUGUUGAAUUGAAUUGAUCUUUGAUUCACUACGAGAAUAAUAGUCCUAGUCAGUUUGUCAUCACCAUCAUAGCCCCUGCCUGCUCUACAUUGUUACUGCUACCGUUGCUAUUCCGUCUCAAUCUCGUUUUAUUUUAGAAAAACAAAAAACUAUAUAUUCUUCGAACAAAAACGAACCAAAACAAUCACCUGAAAAGAUUGCUACUUAUGAAAAGAUCAGAUUGUGCCAAAAUUCAAAAAACUAUAGAAAAAAACUACUGUGAUCAGAGCUCUAUAGAAAUAAGACAUAAUUAUAAUCUCGAAAUUUGAACAAUCGUUUUGUGCGCAAAAUGCAAUUGAUGUUGAUGAUGAUUAUGAUGCGUAUUCAUCGUUUUUGAAUGGCGCAAAAAGCAUUCACUGAAUUAUGUCUUUGUUCGUUACUGCGUCUCAACGUGAAUGGGAUAUUGUCACUGUGGCAACCCCUCCCCCCACUCUUUUGCCCCUUCAUCUAACCCCCCUCUCCGAAUCAAUUCAGACGAACAAUGCGACUCAAAGACCCCCUUUGUUGUCAUUUGUUCCACAUUCAGAGAUCGAACUCGAAUAGUUGCCAAUUGAUCUCCUUCUCCUUUUCCGAUCCAUUCCCUCAUCCUUCAUUCAUUAUUUGCAUUCUUAGCAUUCUCUCUCCAUUUUGUACUAACCCAAAGGUUAAUAACAAUCUCCAAAAUAUUAAAAACUGAAAAUCCCAAUUAGGGCACGAACGAAAAAGGGUAUGCUUAUCUCGCAUGGUUGCCGAGACUAAAACUUGAUGCUAUUUUUUUUUAGUUAUCGACUCUUCGUUUUAACAGCCACAAUCAAUCAGUAUUUUUCCCCAAUUACUGGCCAUUUUAUCAUUUUAUUCGGCUAACAGGAAACUUAAAAAGUUAGAAUUCUUACAAACGUCCUUUUUGGAAAUGGAAAGCGCAGCAGAUCUCUUCAAUUCUUUGUUCAGCCGUUUCAGAGCAGACGGGUCGAACAAAAUAACUGGUGCAGAAUAGAUUUCUGAUUCAAAGAAAGGAUUUCGCGAUUGUUCAAGAGACAUUUAACAGACCAGCUAGUAGAUGACUGAUUUGUAUUUAUGGCGUUUUUGAACGAAGUCGUGUACUUAUAUAAAUCAUGGAGUAAUGAAGAAAAAAAAGAGUGAAGAUUCGAUUGUUCAGCUCAGACACUGAAUAUGUAAUAACACAAAUGAUGUUUCGAUUAUAAUGACUAUCUUUUUA